rfam:Myotis davidii contig161027, whole genome shotgun sequence.
CCAGGGGCCCUGCUCAGGGCCACUUUUUUUAAAAAAAAAAUAUUUU